GAGAGCUGUGGAGCAAGGAGAUUCCCUGUGUAAUCGGGAGCAUUGGAUGUGAAUCCCAGGUCUGGCAUGGGAACCUUGGUGAGUGAUGCUGAGUGGAAUGUUACGUAUCACCAUCAUCAUCAGCAUCCAUCCCACCACCAUCAUCACAACCACCACCACCACCACCACCAUCAUCAUCAUCAUCAUCAUCAUCAACAGCUUUUUCCAAGCAAGUCUGGAAUAAGAAGAGAAGUAGGAGGAUUUAGGCUUUGUACUUCCUGGUGUACUUCCUGGCAGCCCCAGCCCCUGAGGCUCAUGUGAUCCUGCUCACCUUCUCUCCCUGACCCCGAACCCUAAGGGGCUCCCGCACUCCAGAUCGUAGCUGGCUCUUCUCUAUUCUUUUCCUUAUUCCAGCCAUUAGAGUCUUUUGGGACUGGCUUCUCAACCUUUGUCACAUUGGGCUUGAUAUUUUUAGUUUCUUUCAGUGGUAAAUAUUAGAUUAUUCAGAAAAAUUGUUGUCCCAGAUUUCCACACGUGAUGGUAUAGAUACAGAAUAUACACUUAUAAAAUAAGCAAAAAUGAUAUCUCAUGAACAUUUGCUAGAAUUGAAAUA
rnacentral:lncRNA from 1 species